AUUUGUCUACUGCGAACCGAGAAGUUGACCACGGCGAGAGGGAGCUGAAAGAAAUGAAUGUAGUCCUGAGAAUUUCUGAUGGCGAAUGUGGAAUGCAAGGCCAAACCCUGCACAGGAAUCCUGGUGUGCUUUAAAGGCAAAUCUGUAACCGGGAUGUUAGCCAGCCAGUGGGUGCAGACUAUUUCAGCACCGAGCUCAAAUGCCACAGCUUGUUGUGGAGCCCUCCUGUCAAACGUUCCCCUUCUCUCCUACACCCCUCCUCCUAAUACCGACACUUACUGUA